rnacentral:misc_RNA from 1 species
UUCGUCAAUUCAGGGGACCUUGUGGUAUGUUUAGUUUCCUAAUUAAAUUUUUCAAAACAAUUAUGUUGUGCAAUAUUAUGGCAGAUGACAAAAUGGUCUACGACAAACUAUCAUCAUCGAGGUGUUAAUCAUGACAAAAAUUUAUCUAAUCCUUAUGGACCAAGACACAAACACAUAAAUUCACCAGUAUUCACUAUACAUAUUGUAUCUUAAAUAUACAAUAAAGUAUUUUCCGUUAAUUACAAAGAUAAUAUAAAUUAGAAAAGUCUACAUAUAUAGGGAGUCUAGAGACGCUUGAGUUGAUAUAGUUUUAUUAUUCUUGGGAGAAUGCA